rnacentral:rRNA from 1 species
AUGGACGAAAGUCUGAUGGAGCAACGCCGCGUGAGUGAAGAAGGUUUUCGGAUCGUAAAACUCUGUUGUAAGGGAAGAACAAGUACGGUAGUAACUGGCCGUACCUUGACGGUACCUUAUUAGAAAGCCACGGCUAACUACGUGCCAGCAGCCGCGGUAAUACGUAGGUGGCAAGCGUUGUCCGGAAUUAUUGGGCGUAAAGCGCGCGCAGGCGGUCCUUUAAGUCUGAUGUGAAAGCCCACGGCUCAACCGUGGAAGGUCAUUGGAAACUGGGGGACUUGAGUGCAGAAGAGGUUAGUGGAAUUCCAAGUGUAGCGGUGAAAUGCGUAGAGAUUUGGAGGAACACCAGUGGCGAAGGCGACUAACUGGUCUGUAACUGACGCUGAGGCGCGAAAGCGUGGGGAGCAAACAGGAUUAGAUACCCUGGUAGUCCACGCCGUAAACGAUGAGUGCUAAGUGUUAGGGGGUUUCCGCCCCUUAGUGCUGCAGUAAACGCAUUAAGCACUCCGCCUGGGGAGUACGGCCGCAAGGCUGAAACUCAAAGGAAUUGACGGGGGCCCGCACAAGCGGUGGAGCAUGUG